rnacentral:rRNA from 1 species
AGGAAUCUGCCUAUUAGUGGGGGACAACAUCUCGAAAGGGAUGCUAAUACCGCGUACGUCCUACGGGAGAAAGCAGGGGAUCACUUGUGACCUUGCGCUAAUAGAUGAGCCUAAGUCGGAUUAGCUAGUUGGUGGGGUAAAGGCCUACCAAGGCGACGAUCUGUAGCGGGUCUGAGAGGAUGAUCCGCCACACUGGGACUGAGACACGGCCCAGACUCCUACGGGAGGCAGCAGUGGGGAAUAUUGGACAAUGGGGGGAACCCUGAUCCAGCCAUGCCGCGUGUGUGAAGAAGGCCUUAUGGUUGUAAAGCACUUUAAGCGAGGAGGAGGCUCUUUUGGUUAAUACCCAGAAUGAGUGGACGUUACUCGCAGAAUAAGCACCGGCUAACUCUGUGCCAGCAGCCGCGGUAAUACAGAGGGUGCAAGCGUUAAUCGGAUUUACUGGGCGUAAAGCGCGCGUAGGCGGCCAAUUAAGUCAAACGUGAAAUCCCCGAGCUUAACUUGGGAAUUGCAUUCGAUACUGGUUGGCUAGAGUGUGGGAGAGGAUGGUAGAAUUCCAGGU